rnacentral:rRNA from 1 species
CGGUCCAGACUCCUACGGGAGGCAGCAGUAGGGAAUCUUCGGCAAUGGACGGAAGUCUGACCGAGCAACGCCGCGUGAGUGAAGAAGGUUUUCGGAUCGUAAAGCUCUGUUGUAAGAGAAGAACGAGUGUGAGAGUGGAAAGUUCACACUGUGACGGUAUCUAACCAGAAAGGGACGGCUAACUACGUGCCAGCAGCCGCGGUAA